ACAUACGACCAUAGGGUGUGGAGAACAGGGCUUCCCGUCCGCUCAGCCGUACUUAAGCCACACGCCGGUAGGUUAGUAGUAUGGUGGGUGACCACAUGCGAAUCCCUACUGUUGUAUGU
rnacentral:rRNA from 13 species